CGGAGGGUGCGAGCGUUAAUCGGAAUUACUGGGCGUAAAGCGUACGCAGGCGGUUUGUUAAGCGAGAUGUGAAAAGCCCCCGGGCGUCAACCUGGGAACGUGCAUUUCGUAACUGGCGAAACUAAGAGUGUGAUAGAGGGUGGUAGAAUUUCUAGGUGUAGCGGUGAAAUAGCGUAGAGAUCUGAAGGAAUACCGAUGGCGAAGGCAGCCACCUGGGUCAACACUGACGCUCAUGUACGAAAGACGUGGGGGAGCAAACAGGAUU
rnacentral:rRNA from 1 species